AUUGAACGCUGGCGGCAGGCCUAACACAUGCAAGUCGAACGGUAACAGGAAGCAGCUUGCUGCUUUGCUGACGAGUGGCGGACGGGUGAGUAAUGUCUGGGAAACUGCCCGAUGGAGGGGGAUAACUACUGGAAACGGUAGCUAAUACCGCAUAACGUCUCAAGACCAAAGAGGGGGACCUUAGGGCCUCUUGCCAUCGGAUGUGCCCAGCUGGGUUUAGCUAGUAGGUGGGGUAACGGCUCACCUAGGCGACGAUCCCUAGCUGGUCUGAGAGGAUGACCAGCCACACUGGAACUGAGAAACGGUCCAGACUCCUACGGGAGGCAGCAGUGGGGAAUAUUGCACAAUGGGCGCAAGCCUGAUGAAGCCAUGCCGCGUGUAUGAAGAAGGCCUUCGGGUUGUAAAGUACUUUCAGCGGGGAGGAAGGGAGUAAAGUUAAUACCUUUGCUCAUUGACGUUACCCGCAGAAGAAGCACCGGCUAACUCCGUG
rnacentral:rRNA from 1 species